UACGAAGGGUGCAAACGUUGCUCGGAAUUAUUGGGCGUAAAGCGCACGUAGGCGGCCUUGUAAGUCGGAUGUGAAAUCCCUCGGCUUAACCGAGGACGUGCAUCCGAAACUGUGAGGCUCGAGUAUGGAAGAGGGUCGCAGAAUUCCCGGUGUAGAGGUGAAAUUCGUAGAUAUCGGGAGGAAUACCAGUGGCGAAGGCGGCGACCUGGGCCAAUACUGACGCUGAGGUGCGAAAGCCAGGGGAGCAAACGGG
rnacentral:rRNA from 1 species